rnacentral:lncRNA from 1 species
AACAAAUGGCCUUCACUACUAAGAAAGAAAACUUCCUGUCACAAAGAAAAAUAGACAUCCAACAUAUGGAAGAAGGACUUGUUACUCUUAAAAAGCUUUAUCAAUCAAUACAUGAAACAUAUAGAAAGCAAAUAAAAAUCCUGAAUGAAAACC